AUACGGAGGGGGCAAGCGUUGUUCGGAAUUACUGGGCGUAAAGGGCGCGCAGGCGGUUUCGUUAGUCAGGCGUGAAAUCCCCGGGCUCAACCCGGGAACUGCGUUUGAUACUGCGGAACUAGAGAUCGGGAGAGGGUAGUGGAAUUCCCAGUGUAGAGGUGAAAUUCGUAGAUAUUGGGAAGAACACCAGUGGCGAAGGCGGCUACCUGGACCGAUACUGACGCUGAGGCGCGAAAGCGUGGGGAGCAAACAGGAUUAGAUACCCCAGUAGUCC
rnacentral:rRNA from 1 species